CGAACGGGUGAGUAACACGUGAGUAACCUGCCCCUGACUCUGGGAUAAGCGUUGGAAACGACGUCUAAUACUGGAUAUGAUCACUGGCCGCAUGGUCUGGUGGUGGAAAGAUUUUUUGGUUGGGGAUGGACUCGCGGCCUAUCAGCUUGUUGGUGAGGUAAUGGCUCACCAAGGCGACGACGGGUAGCCGGCCUGAGAGGGUGACCGGCCACACUGGGACUGAGACACGGCCCAGACUCCUACGGGAGGCAGCAGUGGGGAAUAUUGCACAAUGGGCGAAAGCCUGAUGCAGCAACGCCGCGUGAGGGAUGACGGCCUUCGGGUUGUAAACCUCUUUUAGUAGGGAAGAAGCGAAAGUGACGGUACCUGCAGAAAAAGCACCGGCUAACUACGUGCCAGCAGCCGCGGUAAUACGUAGGGUGCAAGCGUUGUCCGGAAUUAUUGGGCGUAAAGAGCUCGUAGGCGGUUUGUCGCGUCUGCUGUGAAAUCCCGAGGCUCAACCUCGGGCUUGCAGUGGGUACGGGCAGACUAGAGUGCGGUAGGGGAGAUUGGAAUUCCUGGUGUAGCGGUGGAAUGCGCAGAUAUCAGGAGGAACACCGAUGGCGAAGGCAGAUCUCUGGGCCGUAACUGACGCUGAGGAGCGAAAGCAUGGGGAGCGAACAGGAUUAGAUACCCUGGUAGUCCAUGCCGUAAACGUUGGGCGCUAGAUGUAGGGACCUUUCCACGGUUUCUGUGUCGUAGCUAACGCAUUAAGCGCCCCGCCUGGGGAGUACGGCCGCAAGGCUAAAACUCAAAGGAAUUGACGGGGGCCCGCACAAGCGGCGGAGCAUGCGGAUUAAUUCGAUGCAACGCGAAGAACCUUACCAAGGCUUGACAUACACCGGAAACGGCCAGAGAUGGUCGCCCCCUUGUGGUCGGUGUACAGGUGGUGCAUGGUUGUCGUCAGCUCGUGUCGUGAGAUGUUGGGUUAAGUCCCGCAACGAGCGCAACCCUCGUUCUAUGUUGCCAGCGGGUUAUGCCGGGGACUCAUAGGAGACUGCCGGGGUCAACUCGGAGGAAGGUGGGGAUGACGUCAAAUCAUCAUGCCCCUUAUGUCUUGGGCUUCACGCAUGCUACAAUGGCCGGUACAAAGGGCUGCGAUACCGUAAGGUGGAGCGAAUCCCAAAAAGCCGGUCUCAGUUCGGAUUGAGGUCUGCAACUCGACCUCAUGAAGUCGGAGUCGCUAGUAAUCGCAGAUCAGCAACGCUGCGGUGAAUACGUUCCCGGGCCUUGUACACACCGCCCGUCAAGUCAUGAAAGUCGGUAACA
rnacentral:rRNA from 1 species